rnacentral:hammerhead_ribozyme from 1 species
GCAUUGUUGAAGAAUUCCAAAAUAGGACGAAACGGUCGUCCAGUGC